GGGACCAGUAUAUUAAACUGAUUUUUGUAAAGCGACGGGAUGUUCGGGGCUCGCUCCACUCCCGUCACGGGUCGGCCCGGCAUUGCAGUGCCGCCGGGAUCGGCCCACAAUAA
rnacentral:snRNA from 1 species